UAGCAAACAUUUAUUCCAAUCAUUUAGACAAUUUGCACAAUUUGUCGUCUCCCCUGAUCGAUGUGCUCUCAGAACUGUGUGUUCGCUGGGAUCAGCUGUCUUUAGUCUUAUCGGUUCUUCACUAUAUUUAACAUUACACAAAAACAGAACUUUGGAGCCUUUCCUCUGUUUGAACUCAACUGAUUGACUUGAUGGUAAAUCCAUUUCAACAGGUUUAUUUAUUUAUUUAUUUUUCUUGCUGCAUAGGAUUCAUACAGCUGAUCACAGUAUCAGAAAACAUGUAUUAUUCAUCCAGGGACAAACACAGGAGGCUACACAUGCAGAGAGCAUCCAUUCACAGUUCUACCCAUUUGAUCUACAUUUUCUACCCAAGUGUCACAUGAUCACACUCUUUGAUUCCACAGGCCGUUGGGACGGACGAUAAAUCAGACAAAUCAUUUUAAACAAUGUCACAGAAAUAUUCGUGUUACAGCUUUGUUUUACUUUAGAGCCAAUCUGUACAUGAUUGGAGAUG